UACGUAGGGUGCAAGCGUUUAAUCGGAAUUACUGGGCGUAAGCGUGCGCAGGCGGUUGUGUAAGACAGAUGUGAAAUCCCCGGGCUUACCUGGGAACUGCAUUUGUGACUGCACGGCUGGAGUGCGGCAGAGGGGGAUGGAAUCCGCGUGUAGCAGUGAAAUGCGUAGAUAAUGCGGAGGAACACCGAUGGCGAAGGCAAUCCCCUGGGCCUGCACUGA
rnacentral:rRNA from 1 species